CCUACGGGAGGCAGCAGUGAGGAAUAUUGGUCAAUGGACGAGAGUCUGAACCAGCCAAGUAGCGUGAAGGAUGACUGCCCUAUGGGUUGUAAACUUCUUUUAUAUGGGAAUAAAACAGGGUAUGCAUACCCUCUUGUAUGUACCAUAUGAAGAAGGAUCGGCUAACUCCGGGCCAGGAGCCGCGGUAAUACAGAGGAUCCGAGCGUUAUGCGGUUUGAUUGGGUUUAAAGGGAGCGUAGGUGGGUUGUUAAGUUAGUUGUGAAAGUUCGCGGCUCAAACGUACAAUGGCAGUUGAAACUGGCAGUCUUGAGUACAGUAGAGGUAGGCGGAAUUCGAGGUGUAGCGGUGAAAUGCUUAGAUAUCACGAAGAACUCCGAUUGCGAAGGCAGCUCACUGGGCUGCAACUGACACUGAUGCUCGAAAGUGUGGGUAUCAAACAGGAUUAGAUACCCGUGUAGUC
rnacentral:rRNA from 1 species